AUUGAACGCUGGCGGAAUGCUUUACACAUGCAAGUCGAACGGCAGCACGGGGCAACCUGGUGGCGAGUGGCGAACGGGUGAGUAAUAUAUCGGAACGUGCCAUUGAGUGGGGGAUAACGUAGCGAAAGUUGCGCUAAUACCGCAUAUUCUGUGAGCAGGAAAGCAGGGGACCGCAAGGCCUUGCGCUCUUUGAGCGGCCGAUGUCAGAUUAGCUAGUUGGUGGGGUAAAGGCUCACCAAGGCGACGAUCUGUAGCGGGUCUUAGAGGAUGAUCCGCCACACUGGAACUGAGACACGGUCCAGACUCCUACGGGUGGCUG
rnacentral:rRNA from 1 species